CAGAGGCACCAUUCAGCUGGGGAGCUUGUAGCUGGGGCUGCUGCAACAAAAAGCCAUGCAAGCCUUUGGGAGGCAGAGACAAGAGAGGGCAUUGGAAGGAGAGAAGGAAAGAGGGACAGAGGCCAGUGUUGCUCAAGGCAUCCCUGACCAUCCUUCAAGGCACCCUAGGUUGAAAACCACUGAAUUAGGUGUUUGAAGAAACUGUGUCUUGAACGGUCUUAGUCUUUCCAUGUUCCCAUACCCACAAUAAAGGAAUGGGGAUUUAAAAUAGAUUCAAGGUUUUCAGCCUGAUUCUAACCAGACGUGUACCUUAUGCCCUACUCUGUUCAAGAGGGCUUGUGCCCUAGAACAGGAGUGGAGAACCUGGGAGUUUAAUGCAGCUCUUCUGUCUAGUCCUCAAGUUACAGGUUAUCCUGACCCACACUAUCUGGCUGGCCCUGUCCUUUAAUUUUUGUGGUUUUUUUGCUGGUCACAAUGUGUGUCCUUGAACUCUGUUAAUGGAUAACAGACAGAGUGGGAUGUGUAGAAACUAGCCUUCUGUAGAAACGUAAAAUGUGUAUUACUCCACCAAGUUUUGCUUCUGGUCCCACCCAACUGCAGCUCCCCAGAAGGUGUACCCCAAAGGGAAUAUAGCCACCAGGCUGAAUAAAUGUUCCCCGCUCUUGUUGUAGUAAAUGUGGUUAGGAUUGCAUGAGGUGAGCAGCAUGAGCAUAUAGGGUGUGAUCAGCCUUGUAAACAUGCCCAGAAAAGUUACAUAUCCUGCAGCAAAUUUUGCUAGUCUGCUAAGGGCUGGGGAGCUCACCAUGCUUGGUGCAUGCAAACAGAAGUCCUAGCACUGAGCUAAAGACCUUCAGAGCUGCACACUGAUUAAAGCUUCCUGCUGUAAGAAACCAGACAUAUUAUUUGAAAAUAAAAGAUCAGGUAUUUUCAAACAUUUAUUUGAAUGUUAUUACAACAUGGAAGAUACAAAAAGAUUAGAAAACCUGUAAAACGAUAUAGAAGUAAAAUCAAAAUACAUGACAAAAAUUAUAUAACCCAAUGCCACUCAUUUCUGGAAUUUAUCCUCAAACAUUGCAAACAUCAUUUGUUUUUAUUUAUGGGAAUUUCUAUACUGCUUAAUUUUAAUUUUUUUAAAAAACCAUCUAAGCUGUUUAUCCAGUCUUCUUCUUUUUUUAAGAGGAUUUUAAUUAGGCUUUGUGAUAAGAGAACCUUUCUUUCUAUUCAUAAUGAAUAUCAUUUAUACUGCAUUCCUGAAAAAUCACUUACAUCACAGUAGAUUGAAACUUUAAUCAAACUUAAGCAAAUGUAGCCUUAAACCAUGCUUGUCAGGCUGCAAGUCAGAGCUGGGGAACUCAGGCCAGGAAGCCCUUGGGGGGGACUAUGCAGGCCACGCCCCCUCCACAGGCCAAACCUCUCACAGUCCUGUGUCACACCCUCCUGGAGUGUUUUUGCCUCUGUUAAUGCCUCUUGUUUGCCUGGAUGGUGAGCUGUGUGGGCUGCUUCUGUAGAAACCUCCUGCAGGGCUGUAAUGUAGCCUACUGAAAAACGUUCAGUCUCAUUCAGUGCUCCGCCCACUUUGCCUCUGCCCCACCCACCAUUGCCAUGUGGUCCCCAGUAGGCUGGGGAGCAAUGGAAUAGGGUCUUCAUGUUGAUAAAGAUUCUCUAACCCUGCUGCAAGCACACUUGGAUGUAAUUUUUCAGGACUUCGGGAUUUGUGAACUAUUGUAACCACAUUAUUGGCCAUACCAUAUUGUGUGAUUUUUUAACAAAAACAAAACAAAAACAGCUCUUUUCAUGCAGUAUAUAUUUAAACUUAAACCACUUCUGCGAGUGUGAUUUAUUAUCUAUAUUUUUCUUGAACAGAAACAAUGAUUUUCAUUUCCUACAUUAAAAAGCAUAUGGCACUUACAAAUUCAGAUUAUUAAAAGAGAAUAUCAAACACAGACUUGAACUUAAAAAUUCAAUCAUUCAUCUGAACACAAUAUUCAAGGAUUAAAAUGUGUUUUCUUUUAAUGGAAAAGAUCUUCAAGGAAUAUAUAAUUUUUAUGAGAGAGAUACAGUAAUCCCUUCAAUUACACAAACACUUCAGACUUUCUUGGGCGAAUGCUGUGUAGCAGCCACCGUCAGACUAUUGAACUUUAACUGAUCCACUGGGUCUAAAACAGUUUUCCAUAUCACCAUAGGAAGCUGUCUUAUAGAAAAUUAAGACCAUUUGACCACCUAGUCCAGUAUUGUCUAUCAUUCUGACUGACAGCAGCUCCUUAGGGUCUCAGGUAGAAGCCUUUUUACAUCACCUGCCUGAACCUUUUUAAUUGGAGAGGACAUGGGUUGAAACUGGGGCUUUUGGCACUCAAAACAUCUUUUCUACCACUGAUCUACAAUCUCGCAUAUCAGUUGCUUAGAGAUCACAGGGCACAGAAAAUACUGUAUUCACUGUAUUUGGGCUAAGGGGAAAUGUAUUAUAUUUUUUACAUUUCUUGUAUAUUUAGUUUGUAAGAAAGUUUCAAGUAUGUGGGAAAGAAAAUAAUAAUUUGUUACAUUUGUAUACUGUCCUUCAUCCGCAGAUCUCAGGGCAGUUCACAAAAUAAAAUACUUGUCUUGGGGCUAAUUCACUCUUUCACUUGUCCUGUAUUUCGAUCAAACUAUAUACCGAUGGAUUCAUCCAGGUCCAAGAACUUUUAUUGUUUCAUGGCUGUGCCUUGGGAAAAUCCGAUCUUACCCACUGAAUCAGAAGCUUGAAAAUAUCAGGUGGCAAACAUCAGGAAGAUGUGGAUAACUUUUAAAAACCUAUACAGAUAUUCAAAUAACUCCUGAUGUCCACAGAAGCAAGAACAGAUUGUGCACAAAGGUGGGUUCUCCAUUGCGAAACGGAGACUCUGAAGAUGGAUUCAGAAGACUGGAUAAGAGUCACUUCAAAGCUUCCUUAAAAGUGCAGAGGGAUGGUAAUGCUUGGCUAAAAACUGUAUGGUUGAAGGAUACAGAUGCCACAUGGCAAACUGUUAAGCAACAACCACUUCGCUUGUGGCAAUUUGCAUCCACCCUUAAACCUUGGGAACUGAAAUAAAAUAUAAAGGUUU